AGACGCCCCAGCUCCGCCGAGAGGCCGCUUGCGCAGGCUCCUUCUUCUUCCGCAAGUGUAGGCAGAGCCCCCGGAGCCAUGGCCAGCCCUUCCCGCAGCUCCGAAGCCACUGGCAAGCCCCGAGGCAGGGAUGGCCGGCCCAGGAGGGAGGAGGACGACGUCCCUCCCGAAGAGAAGAGGCUGCGGCUCUUGCUGGAGGGGGGAAGCGCACAGCCCCAGGACGGCGAGGACGGGGAGGACGCGCCGCGGCCGGGCAGGGUGGAGACCGGCACCCAGACAGGUGGCGACGGCAGAGGAAUCCUUCUUAGAAAUUCCUAAGGCUCAAUGCUGUGUGGAAGAUUCUGAGAAAGAAAAUAGUUUCCGAUCUUUGGGAUUCCCGAGAUGGUCCAAUCUGCAAAAAGUUCAUUGCCAUUUCCAUCAAGGACACUGAGAACAAGAGUCUUAUCUGGAUUGGAUCCUGGGAAUUGAGAAGCUUCAGCAGGGCUUCCGCUGGGACUAGGAUCAGGGUGUGGACACCCCCAACCUGGACCGUCUGGCCGGGGAGGGCAUCAAGGCCAAUUACCCAUGCAGCCCCCUGUCACAAUGACCUCCCCAUCCCACUUCACUACCAUCCCAGAACUCUGUACUUACUGCUCCGUCACUGGUAAUGACAAUGAACAUCUUCACAAUCUCAGGUUUUAUUGCAAAGUGAUUGAGGACCAGUUAGAAUAAGUUAUGCUGCAGAAACUAAAGAAAUCUCGUCAAACAAGUGGUAUGUAAUAGAAAGUCUUAGGGCAGCCGUGUAUAUUUUCUCCCCCAAUGACUCAAUUGAAAAUGAGAAGCUGUUACCGCCAUGUUCCGGGCAGAAGCUAUCAAAAGUAUAAGCCAUGAUAUUAUAAUUUGAUGAUUUUUCACCCUUCAAAUGGAUAUGGCCCAGGGGUGAAAAGUGGAUGCUCCGUAACUAGAUGAUGGUCAAGAGUUAUAAAAAUGAGGUCGUCUCUGUUCAACAUUUCUCCUUUCUUGAAAGGAUACUCAAAGUCAUGCUCAGGGCCUCUAAUGGCCAGAAAUAAAGUUCCUCCCAGUUCCAGAGCACCUCAGGACAACCCCAAAACCAGAGCAACUGCUUAUUGCCAUGUAGACUAUGUACUGUGCAAUUCCUGGGGUGGCAUUUUCAUAAAUAUGUGGGUGGCGCCCCCUGGAGGUAUGCAAUGCACAACUUGCACAAAUGGUAAGUCAUCGUAACCCAAAGUCCACAAAGAAGAGGUAAACAAAAUUCCCAUCGAUGUUGCCAUCAGUCAUGAGUCUGCCUUUUCUUCAUGGGACAGUAGCAAAACCAAUUUGGCCAAGUGUGCUUGGAUGAUCUCUAAGAUGGAAUCAGGGUCUCUCACUUUCAGCACUAUUGACAUUUGGGGCUGGAUCAUUCUUUUGUCUUAGUGGGAGUUGUCGGGGCAUUGUAGGAUGCUUAGCAGCAUCGCUGGCCUCUACCCAUUAGCUGCCAGUAGCACCACCUCCUCCAGCCGCAACCACCAAAAUUGUCUCCAGACAUGGCCACAUGUUCUCUGGGGGGCAAAAUCACUCCCGGUUGAGAAGCCCUGAAGUAAAGACAUAAUACGCAGAUCACAUGUAAGUAAGACAGCCUAAGGGCCACACAGGGGAUGCUGUACCCAUGACAAAGACAGAGUCUUAAAGAGGUUAAAGAGGUGGAGAAAGAGAAAAGAAAUGAAGUCCCAGCUGCCGAGAGAAACAGAUGCUGACUAGAUGUUGUUGACAGUCAUCUUUAAACUGAGUUAAAAGAUGCUGAGAAGCCAUCAGCUCCCAUCCUGCUCUCCAGGGACAACGCUGCUGAAAAAGGCCUGGAGAUCAACAAAGCCCCAAACACAGGUGCACUGAGUAAAGAAACCAGAGAUUGAGACAAAAAAGACAUUCCCUCAAAGACUACUCAUUUCCAAGAGGGGAGAAAAAGUGGAGUCAUGAAAAACAGUUGAGGCUGGGUAGAGUGACUCGCACCUGUAAUCCCAGCACUUUGGGAUUACUCCCAGGCUGAGGUGGGAAGAUUGCUUGAACUCAGGAGUUCAAGACCAGCCUGGGAAAAAUAGCAAGACCUUGCCUCUAGAAAAAGGGAAAAAAUUAGCCAGGUGUGGUGAUACAUGCCUGUGGUCUCAGCUACUUGGGAGGCUGAGGUGGGAGGAUCGCUUGAACCCAGGAGGUAGAGGCUGCAGUGAGCCGGGAUCGCACCACUGCACUCCAGCCUGGGUUACAGAUCCUGUCUCAAAAAAGAAAAAAAUUAAACAAAAUUAAGGCCGGGCACGAUGGCUCAUGCCUGUAAUCCCAGCACUUUGGGAGGCCAAGGUGGGCAGAUCACGAGGUGAGGAGAUUGAGACCAUCCUGGCUAACACGGUGAAACCCCAUCUCUACUAAAAAUACAAACAAUUAGCCGGACAUGGUGCUGGGUGCCUAUAGUCCCAGCUACUCUGGAGGCUGAGGCAGAAGAAUGGAGUGAAUUCGGGAGGUGGAGCUUG
rnacentral:lncRNA from 1 species